rnacentral:lncRNA from 1 species
AUAAGUGUAUCUUAAAUAUAUAUAUGCAUGUGAUAUGUUUAUACUAUGUUUGAUUAGAAUAAUUUCGUAACUGACUUUUGAUAACUUUAUGCAGAAGAGGUAUAACUUUUCAGAUCAUGAGAGGGCUCGAGAUAUCCAACUGCAGAAGAUUGGAGAGUUGUACUGAAACUACAAGGUCAAGCUUCACAAAGGAUGGCUAGAGCACCGUAGGGACAC